ensembl:lincRNA 4933435F18Rik RIKEN cDNA 4933435F18 gene
ACGGUCCCCUUAAACUUCGAACCAAAGUGAACCCUUCCUUAAGUUGCUGUUGGACAGGGAUCUGGCUACAGAGGGGUGACUCUUCAGGAGCAUCCCUCUCAGGGUAGGAGUCAGGGAGGAUGCGCCUCUGGCUAAGGCUUCACUUCUUGGUGGCCUUGGCUUGCGGAUGCUGCACCAUGCUCUGAUUGCCACUACCCCAUGUUCACAUGCCCAGUCCUCUUUCCAGGGACACCACAUUGGCUGAGGACCUAUACCUGUGAGCUGAUCUUAACUUGAUCAGUCCUGCACAGAAGGACCCUGUUUAAAGGGCUUCUAACAUCUUGCUCAUCUCUGGACUGUGCACAUGGAUUUCAGAGCAAAAGAAAACAGGAGUAAGGUACCAUUUCACCCCAUCAGUUCAACAGCACCCAGGUAACGUGGCUUCCACUGUUGACUUUGCCUCCUGGGUAAGGGAGUGUUUGUCAUUUCGUCACUAACUAACAUUCCUCUCCACCACCCAUUCACCCAUUCUCCCUUCUACAUAGUUCUCUUUGAAUGAAGUUACUGGACAUAAUCCAUAUAAAGGACUGGGAUGCUAUGGCCCAUAUCACUGAGACAGAAAGCGCUACAUGAAUUAUUUAGGAUUCUUCUGUGUGUAAAAUGUAUGUCUUUGCUAUUUUCCCCCAUAUUUAUUUAUAUCAGUGUGGGCUAACACUUUAUUUUGGGGAUGCUAUGAUUGAAUAUUUUUAUAACUUUGGUUUCCAUGUCCUCUUGACAAGUACCCAUUCUUUUCCCCCUUCUCCUUCCCCUCUUCCCUUCUUACCCACACACAUGAGUUCUUGUGCUGAGGUAGAGGGGGAAGGGGGGGAGAGGAGGAGGGAGAAGAAUCUAGAACAAGGUACAACUCCCUAGGACAUACCCCUAGUGUCUCCUUCAUCUAGCUAAGCCCUACCUUCUAAAGCUUCUAGAACCUUCAAAAUAGUGCCACUAGUUAGUGACCAAGAAUCCAAUCCAUGAGCUGUGGGGACAUUUUACCUCCAAGCCGUAACAUAUAGGAUGAUAGCCCAAGGCCUAACGACCCAGUGAAGGAGCCUAGGGGAGAAGCAAAUGAGAUUCUGCGCCCAGCCCAGAGCAUCUGGACAUUGAGGGCUUUACUUUGUUGCUAUAGUGUCAGAUCUUCAAUGUCUCCAAAGGCCUUUGUGUGGAAGGGUCCAGAAACACCCCAGAACAGAUUCCUGAGGAGAUAUUUAGUAUUGAAGACUAAAGGUUUGUUUUUUUUUUUUUAACUAAAAAAAAGAAGAAAGGUAGUUAUGGCUUGGUUUUUUUAUAUGCACUUUUAUUUAUUUAUUUAUUUUGUGUGUGUGUGUGUGUGCGCGAGUAUGGGUACACACACGUGCCACAGCAUCUUGGUGCAGGUUCAAGUGCAACUUGUAGGAGCUUUCUCUCUCUGUCUACCUCCUGGGCCCCUGAGAUUCAGCUCAAGAUGUCAGGCUUGGUGGCAGGUGCCUUCUUCAUUGAGUCAUCUCACUGACCUUAUUUAUUUAUUUAUUUAUUUAUUUAUCAUUUAUUUAUUUAGACAAAUUUGAUGUUCAAAUACCUUGGAUUAAUUUUCUUUUCUUUCUUUCUUUUGUUUUUACAUCUUAUUAUUUUGUGUUCAUGUCACUGUAUGCACAUGGAGAGCAGAGGACAACUCAAGAGAGCUGGUUCUUUUUGUCCCUACCAUCUGAGUCCCGGAGACUUGAACUCGGGUCAUCAGACUUGGCAGCAGGUGCUUGUAUGCACUGAGCCACCUACUGGUCCGUGAGACAAAGAUUUUUAUACCCGAAACCAUACAGUAGGGAGGGAUACAUGAUGACGUAAGUGUAUUUUCCUUCCCCAAAAUAGAUGGAUCAGAUGGGAGAUGGAGAGUAGGAGGGGAGGUGUCUGGAGCUUAGAUGCUGGUCCCAGAGAAGAGGCUGAGCCCUCCUGGUGUUUGGGUUAAGUCUUUGGUUGGGUGGGUGUGCAGCUGCGAUCACAGGAGCCUGAAGAAAAAGUCAGAUGCUCUUCAAGAAGGGGAGGGGUGGACUUCUGUCCUACUUUACUUUCUGUUGCUGUGAAAAAGAGCAAGACC